rnacentral:rRNA from 1 species
UUCCCCUAGUAACUGCGAGUGAAGCGGGAAAAGCUCAAAUUUAAAAUCUGAGGGUCCUUGCGGCCUUCCGAGUUGUAAUCUAGAGAAGUGCUAUCCGCGCUGGACCGUGUACAAGUCUCCUGGAACGGAGCGUCAUAGAGGGUGAGAAUCCCGUCUUUGACACGGACUACCAGGGCUUAUGUGAUGCGCUCUCAAAGAGUCGAGUUGUUUGGGAAUGCAGCUCUAAAUGGGUGGUAAAUUCCAUCUAAAGCUAAAUAUUGGCGAGAGACCGAUAGCGAACAAGUACCGUGAGGGAAAGAUGAAAAGAACUUUGGAAAGAGAGUUAAACAGUACGUGAAAUUGUUGAAAGGGAAACGCUUGAAGUCAGUCGCGUUGGCCAGAAAUCAACCUUGCCUUCUGCUUGGUGUACUUUCUGGUUAACGGGUCAGCAUCAAUUUUGACCGGUGGAUAAAGGUCAGGGGAAUGUGGCAUCUUUUGGGAUGUGUUAUAGCCCUUGGUUGCAUACAUCGGUUGGGAUUGAGGAACUCAGCACGCCGCAAGGUCGGGUUUUUAACCACGUACGUGCUUAGGAUGCUGGCAUAAUGGCUUUAAUCGACCCGUCUUGAAACACGGACCAAGGAGUCUAACAUGCACGCGAGUGUUUGGGUGGAAAACCCGAGCGCGUAAUGAAAGUGAAAAUUGAGAUCCCUGUCGUGGGGAGCAUCAAUGCCCGGACCAGACCUUUUGUGACGGAUCCGCGGUUGAGCGUGUAUGCUGGGACCCGAAAGAUGGUGAACUAUGCCUGAAUAGGGUGAAGCCAGAGGAAACUCUGGUGGAGGCUCGUAGCGAUUCUGACGUGCAAAUCGAUCGUCAAAUUUGGGUAUAGGGGCGAAAGACU